rnacentral:rRNA from 1 species
UUGUCUGUGCACCCUUUGUGCACGUGUAUAUUUGCUGAUCACACUCCUUGGCAUUGGAAUGCAAAUGGGUGGUAAUUUCAUGUAAAGGUAAACAUGCAAUUGAGACUGAUCACACAAGUACCAUGAGGAAAUAUGAAAAGGACUUUGAAAGAAUUAAAUGAUUUGUAUUUGCUGAACACAAAGUAAACAGACUUGAUUUGCUUGGUGGGAGUGUUGCACUUGCUUGACAAAGCUUUGGGCUGUGGGUGUAAUGAUUCUUUCUUUGCAUGCCAGUUUCUAUUUGUACAUCUGAUUACCUUUGCACAUGAAUGAUAAGUCUCCUGUGGGGGGUGGAUUGCAUGUGCAUGUAAUGAUUUGUGUUUUGAUAAAUGUGUCUGGUGAUGUGUGUGCCCUUGGGGAUCUCCCCUUGGACUUACAGCCCUGACACAUGCUGCAAAUGCUUCGCUGACCCGUCUCACGGACCAGGAGUCA